rnacentral:rRNA from 1 species
CUCCGGUUGAUCCCGCCGGACCCGACUGCUAUCGGAUUGAGAUUUAGCCAUGCGAGUCGAACGUUCCCCUGUUGCGGGGAGCGUGGCGUACGGCUCAGUAACACGUAGUCAACCUGCCCUGGAGACAAGGACAACCCCGGGAAACUGGGAUUAAUCCUUGAUAGGUCAUCUCAUCUGGAAGGAGAGGUGGCUUAAAGGGGUACGCGGGCUUCUUCCGCGAAUUCGCUCCAGGAUGGGACUGCGUCCGAUCAGGCUGUUGGCGGGGUAAUGGCCCACCAAACCUGUAACCGGUACGGGCCUUGAGAGAGGUGGCCCGGAGAUGGACACUGAGAGAAGGGUCCAGGUCCUACGGGGCGCAGCAGGCGCGAAACCUUCGCAAUGCGCGAAAGCGUGACGAGGUUAAUCCGAGUGACUCCCGCUGAGGGGGUCUUUUGUCAGCUGUAAAUAGGCAGGCGAAUAAGGGGAGGGCAAGCCUGGUGUCAGCCGCCGCGGUAAUACCAGCUCCUCGAGUGGUCGGGGCGAUUAUUGGGCCUAAAGCAUCCGUAGCCGGUUCCGUAGGUCCUCUGUUAAAUCCAACCGCUCAACGGUUGACCUGCAGAGGAUACCGCGGGACUAGGAGGCGGGAGAGGCGGACGGUACUCCGCGUGUAGGGGUAAAAUCCUUUGAUCCGCGGAAGACCACCAGUGGCGAAGGCGGUCCGCCAGAACGCGCUCGACGGUGGGGGAUGAAAGCUGGGGGAGCGAACCGGAUUAGAUACCCGGGUAGUCCCAGCCGUAAACGAUGCUAGCUAGAUGAUUCAUUCGCAAGUCGCGAAUGAAGUGUCGCAGGGAAGCCGUUAAGCUAGCCGCCUGGGGAGUACGGUCGCAAGACUGAAACUUAAAGGAAUAGGCGGGGGAGCA